rnacentral:rRNA from 1 species
AAUCAACGCUGGCGGCGUGCCUCAGACAUGCAAGUCGAACGAUUAAAGCUCUCUUCGGAGAGUGUAUAGAGUGGCGCACGGGUGAGUAACACGUAAGUAAUCUACCUUUGAGUGGGGAAUAACCCGGGGAAACCCGAGCUAAUACCGCAUAAUGCAGCGGCAUCGCAAGAUGACAGUUGUUAAAGGAGCAAUCCGCUUAAAGAGGAGCUUGCGGCAGAUUAGCUAGUUGGUAAGGUAAUGGCUUACCAAGGCUACGAUCUGUAUCCGGUCUAAGAGGACGGUCGGACACACUGACACUGAAUAACGGGUCAGACUCCUACGGGAGGCAGCAGUCGGGAAUUUUGGGCGAAUGGGCGAAAGCCUGACCCAGCAACGCCGCGUGAAGGAUGAAGUAUUUCGGUAUGUAAACUUCGAAAGAAUAGGAAGAAUAAAUGACGGUACUAUUUAUAAGGUCCGGCU